GCAAGUCGAACGAGAACGGGUCUAGCUUGCUAGACUGUCAGCUAAGUGGCGUACGGGUGAGUAAUGUAUAGUUAAUCUGCCCUUUAGAGGGGGAUAACAGUUAGAAAUGACUGCUAAUACCCCAUACUCCUAGUAGUGUAAUGCUAGUAGGGAAAUGUUUUUUCGCUAAAGGAUGAGACUAUAGGGUAUCAGGUAGUGGGUGGGGUAAGAGCCUACCAAGACAAUGACGCCUAGCUGGUCUGAGAGGAUGAGC
rnacentral:rRNA from 1 species